rnacentral:rRNA from 1 species
AAUAUUGGACAAUGGGCGAAAGCCUGAUCCAGCCAUGCCGCGUGAGUGAUGAAGGCCCUAGGGUUGUAAAGCUCUUUCAGUGGUGAAGAUAAUGCCGGUAACCACAGAAGAAGCCCCAGCUAACUUGGUGCCAGUAGCCGCGGUAAUACGAAGGGGGCUAGCGUUGUUCGGAUUUACUGGGCGUAAAGCGCACGUAGGCGGAUUGGUAAGUUAGGGGUGAAAUCCCGGAGCUCAACUCCGGAACUGCCUUUAAUACUGCCAGUCUAGAGACCGAGAGAAGUAAGUGGAACUCCUAGUGUAGAGGUGGAAUUCGUAGAUAUUAGGAAGAACACCAGUGGCGAAGGCGGCUUACUGGCUCGGAACUGACGCUGAGGUGCGAAAGCGUGGGGAGCAAACAG